GAUGAACGCUGGCGGCGUGCCUAAUACAUGCAAGUCGAGCGAACAGACGAGGAGCUUGCUCCUCUAACGUUAGCGGCGGACGGGUGAGUAACACGUGGAUAACCUACCUAUAAGACUGGGAUAACUUCGGGAAACCGGAGCUAAUACCGGAUAAUAUAUUGAACCGCAUGGUUCAAUAGUGAAAGACGGUUUUGCUGUCACUUAUAGAUGGAUCCGCGCCGCAUUAGCUAGUUGGUAAGGUAACGGCUUACCAAGGCGACGAUGCGUAGCCGACCUGAGAGGGUGAUCGGCCACACUGGAACUGAGACACGGUCCAGACUCCUACGGGAGGCAGCAGUAGGGAAUCUUCCGCAAUGGGCGAAAGCCUGACGGAGCAACGCCGCGUGAGUGAUGAAGGUCUUCGGAUCGUAAAACUCUGUUAUUAGGGAAGAACAAAUGUGUAAGUAACUAUGCACGUCUUGACGGUACCUAAUCAGAAAGCAACGGCUAACUACGUG
rnacentral:rRNA from 1 species